CCUGUAUUAUCAAAAAAAAAUAUCAUUUUCUUUUGAAACAUUUGCAAGAGAAUCUUUUUAGAUAGUGGAGUAUUUCCUAAAACAUGAAUAAUGUCAUGAAUAGUUUUCCAAAUUAAGUUGGAAUUUAUUCAAGCUUCAAGGCCUUAUAACUCAAAGAGAGAGAACCUCUAGCAUCGUUUUGUAACUAAUGGUAUUACAACAAAAAAGCUCUUCUGAUAGAAGUCACAAUUCGUAAUUCACUUUUUAUAAUUAACCCAAUUAAAACAUAAAAUGGACAUAAAGAGACAAUGCGCACAAGUGACACUGGAAAGGCUUAAACCCUAAAAGAUCCUUCUUGCUUUUUAACAUGGACCACAUAACUAAUAUAAACUCUGAUAUUGAUACCUCAAAAUGGAAUAACUAGCCAGAGAAGAAGUGUUUGUCAUGCUUUGUUUUCCACAUUUAGACAGACAUAUAUCCUUCAGAAAGAGGAAUAUUUGAAGAGAAUAAGCUAUAAAGUGUCGUAAAAGGUUUGAGAACAGCUCCCUCUUUUUCCAAGAAUUCAUCCACUUCCCCUUACUCCAUAGGGCCUUCUCUAAUAGGGAAAAGCCUUCCAUUUCCGUCAAAUGACCCAGCCUCCCCUGGCUCUUCCACCGUCCGAGCUCCCUUUCCUCCCUAUGGUAUGCUCCCCCGGCGCAGGCCUACCACGCUUCGCGACAGAGGUGGGCAAUCUCUCUCAGCCCUUGUGUAUUUAUAACUCAGUGUAGCUUUAUUCCCAAUAAUUCCUAAUCCCAAUUCUUAUUUCCUAUUAGUUAAAGUGACUUCCUAAAUCCUGUAUUAACAACUAGCAAAAUG